rnacentral:rRNA from 1 species
UACGGAGGGUGCAAGCGUUGUUCGGAAUUAUUGGGCGUAAAGCGCGUGUAGGCGGCCAGGCAAGUCGGGUGUGAAAUCCCGGGGCUCAACCCCGGAACUGCUCUCGAAACUGCCUGGCUAGAGUCCCGGAGAGGAAGGCGGAAUUCCCGGUGUAGAGGUGAAAUUCGUAGAUAUCGGGAGGAACACCAGUGGCGAAGGCGGCCUUCUGGACGGUGACUGACGCUGAGACGCGAAAGCGUGGGGAGCAAACAGGAUUAGAUACCCGAGUA